UGGGGAAUAUUGUACAAUGGAGGAAACUCUGAUGCAGCGACGCCGCGUGAGUGAAGAAGGUCUUCGGAUCGUAAAACUCUGUCCUUGGUGACGAAAAAAAUGACGGUAGCCAAGGAGGAAGCCCCGGCUAACUACGUGCCAGCAGCCGCGGUAAUACGUAGGGGGCGAGCGUUGUCCGGAUUUACUGGGCGUAAAGGGUGAGUAGGCGGUAAUAUGUGUCAGAUGUAAAAGGCUAUGGCUUAACCAUAGUUGGCAUUUGAAACUGUAUUACUUGAGUGCAGGAGAGGUAAGUGGAAUUCCUAGUGUAGCGGUGAAAUGCGUAGAUAUUAGGAGGAACACCAGUGGCGAAGGCGACUUACUGGACUGUAACUGACGCUGAGUCACGAAAGCGUGGGUAGCAAACA
rnacentral:rRNA from 1 species